rnacentral:rRNA from 1 species
UAGGGAAUCUUCGGCAAUGGACGAAAGUCUGACCGAGCAACGCCGCGUGAGUGAAGAAGGUUUUCGGAUCGUAAAACUCUGUUGUUAGAGAAGAACAAGGACGUUAGUAACUGAACGUCCCCUGACGGUAUCUAACCAGAAAGCCUCGGCUAACUACGUGCCAGCAGCCGCGGUAAUACGUAGGUGGCAAGCGUUGUCCGGAUUUAUUGGGCGUAAAGCGAGCGCAGGCGGUUUCUUAAGUCGGAUGUGAAAGCCUCCGGCUCAACCGGGGAGGGUCAUUGGAAACUGGGAGGCUUGAGUGCAGAAGAGGAGAGUGGAAUUCCAUGUGGAGCGGUGAAAUGCGUAGAUAUAUGGAGGAACACCAGUGGCGAAGGCGGCUCUGUGGUCUGUAACUGACGCUGAGGCUCGAAAGCGUGGGGAGCAAACAGG